rnacentral:misc_RNA from 1 species
CCCUUGGAACAUGCAUCAGCUUUUUCAUGACCAAUCAAAACUUCAGAGGGCUCUAGAUCACUUUCAACAUCCAUUACAUCACAUAGAACCUCGUCGUGCUUGAGUUUCUUGGAGAUCGAGACUUGAUCAUCCAUGUCGACAUCCAUGAAAGCAAUCCAAUUCGAUUUUCACACUACUGAUAACUGAAAAGUCACCAAUUUUUACUUUUGUGAGCUUUUCACAGAGAGAGAGAGAGAGA